UUAAAUUUGCUCUUGUUAAAAACCACAUUAUUAUAGCCCUAAAACUUUAAAAUUUUGGUGUUUUAUUCCAAAUACGCAUAUUAAUAUGACCCUUACCCCCUUUCUUUUCUACUCCAAUAAAAAGUAGAAUGAGUAAAAGAUGACAAAUUCCUACCUUUGCUUUCCACAUUAACCACUGCUUGAAGAUAUCAACAUGUCGGCCACACUGAAUAGUUUUAUCCGCCGUGUCAAAGUCAACAUUGUAGAGUUUACCUGACUGGAAAAGAUAUUCAGCUUGCAUCUGAUUACAUGCAUCUAGAAGGCCCUAAAAAAGGAAAAACAUAUCUAACAUCCUUUUGUCUCAUAUGAAAAAUGUGGAAAACAUUCCUCCUCAGUGUUAAAGACUUCAAGAAGCUUUCCUUUGGAAGAUUAAGAAAUAAUCACUAGAAAAGGACAUGUUACCCAUCAUUGAGACAGAAAUGUUUUCUCAGUAUGUAUGUUGCUUCAGCACAUCAAAACCUAAAUUUAUGUGCAUUGAUGGGGUAUAAUUUAAAUGUUAAUUAAGCAGAACUAUUUGUACAAGAGGUAAAUAACAUUAUAUGUAUUUAUGUGUUUGCUAUAUGCUUUCCAUUUCACAUUACAUCAUUUGAUCCUCAUGGAAAACUGAUGGUGUAGGUACUAUAAUGACAACAUUUUUAUAGAUUGAAGAAACUGAGAAUAUUAACAUGUUAAGUAAUUUUCAAGAACAUAUAUCUAUACAAUGAUGAAUUUGGGAGCUGAAAAAAGGGCAGUUUGACUUGAGGUUUGUGGAAACACAACAUCCUAAGGAAGAUAACUCACACUCUGUUUCAGGCUAGGCUUGUGGAUCUAUAGGAAGGACCACAAUGUGACGGUCAGUGUUGAAGUAUUUCAGGGAAAUAGAAUAGAAAUUAUAACUCAAAAAUGAAAAUAGUUUAUGAAUCUGUAUUUUGGGUGUCCUAUUUACACAUGUAAAUAUUUUCUUCUUAGGCUCUUUUGAACCCCCUUUUUAAUCUUUUGUUAGAGCAGGCCUAGAGACUAUUGUAAACACUUUAAAACAGUAUCAUCAAGAUGAGUUUCUGCACAGCAAAAGAAACUACCAUCAGAGUCAGCAGGCAACCUACAGAAUGGGAGAAAAUUUUUGCAAUCUACUCAACUGACAAAGGGCUAAUAUCCAGAAUCUACAAUGAACUCAAACAAAUUUACAAGAAAAAAAACAAACAACCCCAUCAAAAAGUGGGCGAAGGAUAUGAACAAACACUUCUCAAAAGAAGACAUGUAUGCAGCCAAAAGACACAUGAAAAAAUGCUCAUCAUCACAGGUCAUCAGAGAAAUGCAAAUCAAAACCACAAUGAGAUACCAUCUCACACCAGUUAGAAUGGCGAUCAUUAAAAAGUCAAGAAACAACCGGUGCUGGAGAGGAUGUGGAGAAAUAGGAACAUUUUUACACUGUUGGUGGGACUGUAAACUAGUUCAAUCAUUGUGGAAGUCAGUGUGGCGAUUCCUCAGGGAUCUAGAACUAGAAAUACCAUUUGACCCAGCCAUCCCAUUACUGGGUAUAUACCCAAAGGAUUAUAAAUCAUGCUGCUAUAAAGACACAUGCACACGUAUGUUUAUUUCGGCACUAUUCACAAUAGCAAAGACUUGGAACCAGCCCAAAUGUCCAACAAUGAUAGACUGGAUUAAGAAAAUGUGGCACAUAUACACCAUGGAAUACUAUGCAGCCAUAAAAAAUGAUGAGUUCAUGUCCUUUGUAGGGACAUGGAUGAAGCUGGAAACCAUCAUUCUCAGCAAACUAUGGCAAGGACAAAAAACCAAACAUCACAUGUUCUCACUCAUAGGUGGGAAUUGAACAAUGAGAACACAUGGACACAGGAAAGGGGACAUCACACACCAGGGCCUGUUGUGGGGUGGGAGGAGGAGGGAGGGAUAGCAUUAGGAGAUAUACCUAAUGUAAAUGAAGAGUUAAUGGGUGCAGCACACCAACAUGGCACAUGUAUACAUAUGUAACAAACCUGCACGUUGUGCACAUGUACUGUAGAACGUAAAGUAUAAAAAAAAAAAAAGAUGAGCUUUAUCUGGUGUGAUGAUUGAGCUACACUUAGUCAUUAAGCAGCAUAUAUUUAUAGCACUUGUCAUACAUGGUGCUGAGACGGUGGAUUUGUGGUGAGAAAAAGGGUAGAGAGACUCUGCCUUCAUAGAACUUAUAGUCUGAGUGGCAGGAGGCUGGGUAGGUAAGGGCGGGGCUGGGCACUAAACACAAUGUCACAGAUAUGAGUGUCAAAUUAUACCCAUGAUAAAUGUUAUGAAAGAGUUUUCAUGGUGCUAUAGAAUAUUCUGGCCUAAGGGUCAAAGAUUCCAUGUAGCCUGGAAGUCAAGGAAGGUUUCUGAGUAAAAAAACAUUUUUGAAUUCAGCAGUUUAGCAAGAAAUAUGCUGGGGGAGAGAGCUGUGGGAGUGAAAGUUGAGUCAGACCAUGACAGGUGGAAGGAGAAAGAUGUACUGAGAUCAUAAUGGAGACAGCUGCACUACAUCUUUUUGGAACUAAAAGGAAGCCAAUGGAUAUGAAUAAAACAAUAGGAAACACAAGAGGAAGUAAGAGUUCAGAGAAAGCCACAGACUACACCUCCUGGGCCUUUGUGCAAUGUCAAGGAUUUCAAUCCCCAUCUUAGCGACAAAGAGAAGCUACUUAAUGAGUUUAUAUUUUGCAUUAUGAAAAGCUUCUUCUGAAUAAAUGAAAUUGAUGUGGCUAGCAUUUUGUUUGAAAAACAUAUGGUAUUUUCAUUCCCUUGAGUGUAAAAAUGAAGAAUAUUUAAAAUCAGUUUAAAUAUAUUUUAUGUACAAUUAUACAAAAAUGUAUAUAUUCACUUCCUUAUAGUCAAUUCCUUGUCAGCAUUGAAAAAUAUGUUCAUUAAAUAUUGAUAUACUCAAUUUGUUCUACUCAUUAAGGCAUGAAUUAAAAUUGUCUAUCUGCAGCCCUGGACAUUCAAAUGGUUAAUAGAUAAGAAUAGAACGUUCCUCUUAAUUCAAGGCUGCACCAAGAUAGACUUGUUUUCCAGAAAUGACCUUAAACAUAAUAAAUGCUUAUUGGUUUGGGAA